rnacentral:rRNA from 1 species
AACGCUAGCUACAGGCUUAACACAUGCAAGUCGCGGGGCAGCAUGAAUUUAGCUUGCUAAAUUUGAUGGCGACCGGCGCACGGGUGAGUAACGCGUAUCCAACCUUCCCCUGUCCACGGGAUAGCCCGUCGAAAGGCGGAUUAAUACCGUAUGAGGUCACACGAUGGCAUCAGACUGUGACGAAAGGUCUGGCGGACAGGGAUGGGGAUGCGUCCGAUUAGCUUGUUGGCGGGGUAACGGCCCACCAAGGCAACGAUCGGUAGGGGUUCUGAGAGGAAGGUCCCCCACAUUGGAACUGAGACACGGUCCAAACUCCUACGGGAGGCAGCAGUGAGGAAUAUUGGUCAAUGGGCGAGAGCCUGAACCAGCCAAGUAGCGUGCAGGAUGACGGCCCUAUGGGUUGUAAACUGCUUUUAUGCGGGGAUAAAGUUUGGGAUGCGUCCCAUUUUGCAGGUACCGCAUGAAUAAGGACCGGCUAAUUCCGUGCCAGCAGCCGCGGUAAUACGGAAGGUCCGGGCGUUAUCCGGAUUUAUUGGGUUUAAAGGGAGCGUAGGCCGGAGAUUAAGCGUGUUGUGAAAUGUAGACGCUCAACGUCUGCACUGCAGCGCGAACUGGUUUCCUUGAGUACGCACAAAGUGGGCGGAAUUCGUGGUGUAGCGGUGAAAUGCUUAGAUAUCACGAAGAACUCCGAUUG